CGGCAACUAGCUCAACGGUAGAGCAUUCAGUUUACACCUGGGCGGUUAUUGGUUCGAAUCCAUUGUUGCGUA
rnacentral:tRNA from 1 species